rnacentral:rRNA from 1 species
UACCAGCUCUCCGAGUGGUGUGGAUGUUUAUUGGGCCUAAAGCAUCCGUAGCUGGCUGGGCAAGUCCCCUGUUAAAUCCACCGAUUCAAUCGUUGGUGUGCGGGGGAUACUGUUCGGCUAGGGGACGGGAGAGGCCGACGGUAUUUUCGGGGUAGGGGUGAAAUCCUAUAAUCCCGGGAAGACCACCAGUGGCGAAGGCUGUCGGCUAGAACGCGCCCAACGGUGAGGGAUGAAAGCUGGGGGAGCGAACCGGAUUAGAUACCCGGGUAGUCCCAGCUGUAAACGAUGCAGGCUAGGUGUUUGGGCGGCCACGUGCCGCUCUAGUGCCGCAAAGAAGUUGUUAAGCCUGCCGCCUGGGGAGUACGGUCGCAAGGCUGAAACUUAAAGGAAUUGGGCGGGGGAGCACCACGAAGGGGUGAAGCUUGUCGGUUU